ensembl:lncRNA
AUGUCGGAAAUCAUCUUGGAAAACAAACCUAAGCUCAUCAAAUGGCUUAGUUUGGAUUAUAAAUUUGUUUUGCAACAUGUUCAAGCUAAAAAACUUAUAACACAGUCGCACUAUGAUGACUUGAUGGCCAUGAAGGCGAGCGACAGUAUCAUCAAACUUCUGGACAUCAUCCGUAGAAGAGGAGAAAAUGUGUGUCGAGAUUUUCUGGAUUUGCUAAAAGAUGAUGAUGUGAAUGAAAUAUCGCCGGAGCUAAGAGACUGGGUCAAAACAGUUGACUCAGAAGAAACUGCCAACAUGACAGGACAAUCACGCAUCCAAGUAAACAGCAAAAUCUCUGCAUCAGAUGGCAGCAGUGUAAUUUCGCCUACCAUAAUUGGUGGAAAUCUAGGGUCCUUUACAAUGAAUACGACGGUUGCACCCUCUGGCAGAUCAGAUGUGCAGACAAAUUACCAAGAAACCUGAUAGAGACUGUGAACACAGGCCAGUACAAGAUUAUCAGAAGUUUCUAAAAUAAAACACCAGUCUGCUGGUUCA